CACCACCGCACACGCGUCAUGACGCUGCACAGACAUAUACAGGACAUAUACGCUAACACAUAGGCAGGCACACCUCAAAUGGCCUCCCCCACCGCGCCUUCGCCGAUGGCAGCUGAGCAGGCAGCCAUCGCUCAGCAGGAGUCGCUCGAGGAAGCAUAUGUUCGGCUUAACACGCAGCUGCUGCUGCACCUGCAGCGUCACGAUACCGCCGCAGCGCUGCGCACGGCGGAAGUCAUGCGUGAUGUGUUUCUCAACGCACUAUCGUCGACCGCACGACGCAGUGACGGCCCAGGUCAUGGUGGCGGGGUCGCGGCCCCGCUACCUGGCGCAGACCUCUUUCACGGCAGCCCGGCCGAGCAGUUUUUGCAACUGCGAGGCCAGCUGAAGGCGUCGGCGUCCGCAGGAUCCACGCGCGCGAGCGACGAUGCCGGCUUGCAUGAAGCCAGCGAGCCACAAUCGGCGUCAUCAGAGACGAGCAGCGGCAGCAGCACUGUCGAAUCAAGCUGCGACGACGACGACGAGACGGAUGAGGUAGAGCUGGUUAGCGACUCCGAGAUCGACGGAGAUACAGAAGAAACAGAAGAGGUAACGAUGGUGGGCGGCAGCAGUGGCCCACGGCAGCAGCAAGCGGCUGCCCGCCUCCUCGCGGAAGCGCUGCAAUCGUGGUCGAAGGCGUCCCUGAAAGCCGCUUGUGUCUCUCCAGCUAAAGCACCUUCUGCUUUCAGUGUUGUGGCUGAGGCAGCCUCCUCGUCAGCGACAGCGCUGGCAAAGAAGAGUGCGAGUAAACCCAGGGCACUUCAACCCCGCCCCCCGCCACCACGUCACAAGGCACAUGACAAAGGCCAGGCCAACACCAGUGUGGAAGAGGCGGGGCGAGGCCAGACGAUGCCGAGCGCAUCAUCACCGUCACCGCCGCUACCCGUAGAAGGGGCCGCUUGCGAUGAGGACGGCGAGGGUCUCGACGCGGAAGCAGAUGCCGUGUGGGUGCAGAUGCAGGCCCAGGUGGUAAAGGAGAUGGAUCGGCUUGCCAUAGUGCGCAAGCACCGGUAAUCAACUCCCUCACCCUCAUUUCAUCGUCUCUCUGUGCACUCUUUCUUCUGCCUAG
rnacentral:misc_RNA from 1 species